AUGUGUAUCUGUGUGUUAGUGUUUUUUUCAGUGUGUGUAUCUGUGUGCCACUAUGUGCCAGUGUGUAUCUGUGUAUGCUGAUGUGUUUAUCUGUAUGUCAGUGUAUCUGUGUAAUCUGACACACUGGCACAUAGUGGCACAUAUAUACACACACAGACAAAACACUAACACAGAUA